AUGAAGGUGUCCUCUGUGCUUCACUGCCAGGGAUGUGCCCCAAGUCAGGGGUUUCUGCUCACAACUUUCCUUUUAACCUACUGGCACCUGUCUACCUCUUCCCAAGUCACCAUUGAAUUAGUGCCACCCCAAGUGGUUGAAGGAGAAGAUGUCCUAUUCCUUGUCCACAAAAUGCCAGAAAAUCUUAUGUCCUUAGGCUGGUUCAAAGGGAAGACAGUUAUAAAUUGUGGAAUUUUAAUUUAUGCAACAAACACAAAAGUAACUGUGAUGGGGCCCAGGUACAGUUCUAGAGAGUCCUUGUACAGAAAUGGGUCCCUGUUGAUCCACAAUGUCACCCAAAAGGAUAUAGGAUUCUACACCCUAUGAACCUUAAAUAGCCAUGGAGAUACUAUGUCAACAUCCACAUUCCUCCACGUGAACCGCUUCCUUUGGAACUGUGGGCACCUUGUUGCCUCUGGUCAACCCAGUAUUGAAACAUUGCCACCUAUUGUUCCUGAUGGGAAAGAUGUUUUUGUACAGGUUCGCAAUCUCCCAGAGAAUAUUCUAGGCUUUGCAUGGUUCAGAGGAAUGACCCAGGUCAGGAAACAUCUGAUUGCCCGAUACAUAAUUGUAAGAACCCUGACUAAUACAAUAAUAGAUGAAAAAAUGAAAAGUUUUUCAUUUGGGCCUGCAUACAGUGGUAGAGAGAGACUGUAUACUGAUGGAUCCCUGCUGAUCAAAAAUGUCACUCAGAAGGAUGCUGGAUUGUACACCUUAGCAAUUCUGGGUACAGAUAUGAAGAGUGAAGAAGGACAUGUAGAAAUCCAGGUGGAGAGUCUUGUUUUUCAGUGCUGCAACUCUCUGACUUCUGCCAAAUUCAUUGUUGAGUCUGUGCCAAGGUAUGCUGUUGAAGGGGGAAGUAUUCUCCUUGUUCAUUAUCUACCAGAAGAGCUGAGAUCCUUCUCCUGGUACUACUCAAUAUAUACGGUCCCAGCCUUUAAAAUUGUAGACUACCAUGUAAUAAGGAAAAUCACCACCUGGAGUGAUGCAUACAGAGGAAGAGGAAUGUUGUACGCUCCAGGAUGUCACUGAGGAAGAUGCAAGAAUGUACACAUUAGAAAUUUUAAAUACAAAUAACAAGGUUAAAAGAGCACACGUGCAGUUUUAUGUAAACAAGAUGGUGACAGACCCCUUCAUUCGAAUCACCAACAGCACAGUCGAUGCACACAGAUCUGUGACCUUCUCCUGUGUUUCACCUGACAUUGGACUCUCCUUUCGUUGGUUCUUUAAUAACCACAAUCUGCAGCCUACAGAUAGGAUAAAGCUGUCUCCAUCAAAGUGUGGAGUCAGAAUUGAUGAUGUCAGAUUUGAGGAUGUUGGAGUGUACCAUUGUUUGGUCAUGAACCGAGCUGGUAUAGGAGUGGCCAGUCUUCCAGUCAGAUGGCCUUGAUGAAUGAGCACCC